rnacentral:other from 1 species
AAACACCUGCGGUGUUCGAUAGCAAUCAUUUUAUAUUAACCGAUAACAAUGAAAAGGGAAUUUUGUCUCCGGAUACGGUUUGUAUGCCCCCCACCCGAAAGGCUGGCGAUAGGGGAAACAGUAAAGUUGACGGGCGAGUACCCACCUGCAAAAGCAGGUUUUUAUAAGGAUUGUACGGCACUUGCGGGUUAACU